rnacentral:rRNA from 1 species
UACGGAGGGGGCGAGCGUUAUUCGGAAUUAUUGGGCGUAAAGGGCGCGUAGGCGGCUGUACAAGUCAAAGGUGAAAUCCCUCGGCUCAACUGAGGAACUGCCUUUGAAACUGUACGGCUUGAGGCCGGGAGGGGGUAGCGGAAUUCCCAGUGUAGCGGUGAAAUGCGUAGAUAUCAGGAGGAACACCUGUGGCGAAGGCGAGUCCCUGGACAACUUCUGACGCUGAGGCACGAAAGCUAGGGGAGCAAACAGG